AGGGAAUGAAGGAAAGAGUCUUAAGUCCCUUGAGUCGGAUUUGUGAAAGAGCAGAAGUGGCCCUGGAGACAAAGAUGGCGGCAACAGCAAUGGGUGAUGAGACUCCAAGGGAAAGGGGGUUGGCAUGAUGCCACAGAAAGAGCGUGCUCUUUGCUGCCGGCAAACUUGAGUUCACAUCCGUGCUGGGAAAGGUUUGUGAACUUGGGCAAAUUACUUCAGCUCCCCGAGCCUCCGAUUACUCAGCUCUACAAUGAGGGAGGCUGGCGGCUGCUUAGGGCUAUCAAUCUGACAUACUUCUCUAGUUCUACACGGAGACUAAAAUACCAUCUAAGUCUUAUUCCUACAGUUCUCGAAUCACG